GUCGGGAUAGCUCAGUGGUAGAGCAGAGGACUGAAUC
rnacentral:tRNA from 1 species